rnacentral:lncRNA from 1 species
CACACACACACACACACACACACACACACACACGUACGUUAUUAGCGGAUGUUUGUAACUUCAUGUCCCUGUGGCCUGAUACUCUUUCACUCUGAUAGUGUUCAGACUGGAAUGUGUGUAUUCCCCUGAAGUCAUUUUGAUGCUCUGCACCACCACAGAGACACUAAGACCAGGCAGACAGCAGUGAGAAUAGACAGUAGGGGAGAUAAGAGGAGAGACAGUAGGGGAGAUAAGAGAAGAGACAGUAGGGGAAAUAAGAGGAGAGACAGUAGGGGAGAUAAGAGGAGAGACAGUAGGGGAGAUAAGAGAAGAGACAGUAGGGGAAAUAAGAGGAGAGACAGUAGGGGAGAUAAGAGAAGAGACAGUAGGGGAGAUAAGAGAAGAGACAGUAGAGGAAAUAAGAGGAGAGACAGUAGGGGAGAUAAGAGAAGAGACAGUAGGGGAAAUAAGAGGAGAGACAGUAGGGGAAAUAAGAGGAGAGACAGUAGGGGAGAUAAGAGGAGAGACAGUAGGGGAGAUAAGAGGAGAGACAGUAGGGGAGAUAAGAGGAGAGACAGUAGGGGAGAUAAGAGGAGAGACAGUAGGGGAGAUAAGAGGAGAGACAGUAGGGGAGAUAAGAGAAGAGACAGUAGGGGAGAUAAGAGGAGAGACAGUAGAGGAUGUCUGACGAUGAUGUGAAAAACAGAUCAAACCACUUCCCAUUUAACUGGAGGAAAGCAACCAGCCAACCAGAGACCAGACACUAGCAGCAACCAGCCAACCAGAGACCAGACACUAGCAGCAACCAGCCAACCAGAGACCAGACACUAGCAGCAACCAGCCAACCAGAGACCAGACACUAGCAGCAACCAGCUACAAGCAGAUAGUCCCUUUUCAUGUUCAAGAUGACUGUUUCCCACAUAGCAGAUACAAACAGAAAUCCAUGAGUAUGACACAAAAGAGUGAGGGUUAUGGUUACAGUACAGCCUGUACCAGACCAGAACAUGUUGAGGUGGUUUGGCUGAAGGUACAGUACAGCCUGUACCAGACCAGAACAUGCUGAGGUAGUUUGGCUGAAGGUAUAGUACAGCCUGUACCAGACCAGAACAUGCUGAGGUGGUUUGGCUGAAGGUAUAGUACAGCCUGUACCAGACCAGAACAUGUUGAGGUGGUUUGGCUGAAGGUACAGUACAGCCUGUACCAGACCAGAACAUGCUGAGGUAGUUUGGCUGAAGGUAUAGUACAGCCUGUACCAGACCAGAACAUGUUGAGGUAGUUUGGCUGAAGGUACAGUACAGCCUGUACCAGACCAGAACAUGCUGAGGUAGUUUGGCUGAAGGUAUAGUACAGCCUGUACCAGACCAGAACAUGUUGAGGUAGUUUGGCUGAAGGUACAGUACAGCCUGUACCAGACCAGAACAUGCUGAGGUAGUUUGGCUGAAGGUAUAGUACAGCCUGUACCAGACCAGAACAUGUUGAGGUAGUUUGGCUGAAGGUAUAGUACAGCCUGUACCAGACCAGAACAUGUUGAGGUAGUUUGGCUGAAGGUACAGUACAGCCUGUACCAGACCAGAACAUGCUGAGGUAGUUUGGCUGAAGGUAUAGUACAGCCUGUACCAGACCAGAACAUGUUGAGGUAGUUUGGCUGAAGGUAUAGUACAGCCUGUACCAGACCAGAACAUGUUGAGGUGGUUUGGAUGAAGGUACAGGAUAGAGGAAGCUUACUUCAGUCUUCACUAAAACCACAAUCUCAAGUGCAUUGUUUUCCCCCAUAGACUUGUAUAAUGGCUGGUUUCCCCCAGAGACUUGUAUAUGGGGGAAACCAGUGAUUGCCAACAAGGGUUUUGCAAGUGCUAAGUCAUGUUUUGCAGAGGUGUCAAAUACUUAUUUCCCUCAUUAAAAUGCAAAUCAAUUUAUAACAUUUUUGACAUGUGUUUUUCUGGAUAUUUUUGUUGUUAUUCUGUCUCUCACUGUUCAAAUAAACCUACCAUUAAAAUUA